GAGCUCAUUCUAAGGAUUAUGGAGAUAAACCAUGGAAAGGGAUUUCAUUGUAAUACCCACGAUUGAGAUGGUUGGAGAUAAAGCCAUUAUCCAGUGAUAGUUCAUCAUGUUGAAGGAAUCCUGCUCAAUCAGAAGAACAGAUGGCCAUCUUCUGUCAGUACUUGAAGACUGUUUCUAAGAAACAUUAAGCCUCCAUCAGGCUCACUUGUUAAUGCAAAAGUCCCACUCAGGACAGAAGCUGGGACAAUCUUUGAAGUUGUCAGGUAUUGAGUUUGAGCAAAUGGAAUGGAAUGUGCUGGAACUGGUCCUUGCAGCAUCCUCCUGACACCUUGGGUCUAUUUGCAUAGUGCAGGUGGCUGAGAUGUCACUAGGCUCUUGAGAGACUUCAGGAACAAGUUGAGGGUUCUGCCUGUCAUCUGAGUUUAUGUACCAUGUACAAGACAACCUCACACUGUUUCUAACAUGAAAUGUUAAAAAUUGUUAUAUCUUUUUCAAAAGGGAGAACCCUUUCUGAUUAGUAAGAAGAAUCGGCCAGGCGCAGUGGCUCACACCUGUAAUCCCAGCACUUUGGGAGGCCGAGGUGGGUGGAUCACUUGAGGUCAGGAGUCCAAGACCAGCCUGGCUAACAUGAUGAAACCCCGUCUCUACUAAAAAUACAAAAAUUAACCGGGAGUGGUGGCAGGUGCCUGUAAUCCCAGCCACUAGGGAAGAUGAGGCACACGAAUCUCUUGAAUCCCGGAGUUGGAGAUUGUAGUGAGCCAAGAUCGCGCCACUGCAGUCCAGCCUGGGUCACAGAGUGAGACUCUCUCAAAAAAUAAAAAUAAAUUUAAAAAAAUAAAAAGAAUCUUAAUUUUUAAAGUUAGUUGAAAAUGUGAAUCCUUUUUAGGUUAAAAUGGGCCUUGCUCUUUUGUUUACUCAGGGCAAAGUGGAAAGGAGGAGACAAUCACUGGUAGGUCUCUGGUAUGCGUGUUCUAGAGUGGGUACAAAUGACCAUUUGAUGAGUUGUUUCUAGGAACUUUAUACAUACCAUGAGAACUGAUGAAAAAUCUCAUUAAUUCCUUAGGAACAUUACCUCCCUUAAUGAAAGGAAAACAGCCUAUUGGCUCUCUAAUAGUAAUCAAGUGAAGUGUGGAUAAUUCUAGACUUUUAUUUUUAAUCACCACUUAUAGGAAGCUGUACUUUUUACCACUAGGGUGUAACCAGAAACUAUUACAAGCAAUUUAAUUGCAAUGUGGAUCCCCCUUUUCUGUAAAGAUUUCAUUCUAACUUGGGAUUACCUUCUUGAUCAAGGAGGCUUUAUCAGAUAAUCCUGACAUCUCAGUUACAGAGCAAGCAAAACUUUGCCUCCAUGCUCUUAGGUCCUCUGGUUGGGCCUGAGAAUUAAAUUGGCAUAAAAUAUAUUAACAGGAGAAAAAUACACAGACUUUUUACAUGUACAUGGGAGCUGCCAUAGGAAAAUAAAGACCCUAAGAAGUGGUAAAAACCCAAAUGCUUAUAUAGCAGAUUGAAUAAAGAGUGACAAUUGUGGAAAAGUAACUAAAAUGUGUGGGGAGGCUCAAGGAAGAUAAGAGUUAUUUUAACAAGGUCUGUUUGUACAGGUUUUUUUUUAGUCUCAACUCCUCAUCUCCGGUGACAAGAAUGUUUCUUCUCUUCUGGUACAGGGAGCGCAUCUUUCACAUGGGAGUUUUUGUCUCCUGUUUGCAGGAAGAAAAGAGGAGAUUGGAAUGCCCUUCUUGCAUUUGCUGUUUUUCAAGGGCCUUUAGCUCAAAAUAAUCUUUACACCAAACUAGCAUAUUUUGGGGUGACAUAUUCUGCCACCCUUCACAGUCUGUGAUGGUUAAUUUUAUGUGUCAGCUUCUCUAGGGUAAGGGAAGUCCAUAUAACUGGUAAAACAUUAUUUCUGGGUGUGUCUUUGAGGAUGUUGCUGGAAAAGAUUAGCAUUUGAGUCAGUGGACUAAGUAAGAAAAUCACUAACAUGGGCAGGCAUCGUCCUAUCCAUUGAGGGUCAGAAUAGAACAAAAAGGCAGAGAAAGAAUGAAUUCUCUUUUUUUGAGCUGGGGCAUCUAUCUUCUCCUGACUUCAGGUAUCAGAGUUUCUGGUUCUCAGGUCUUUGGACUUGGCCUGAAUUUCACUGCCUGCUUUCCUGUUUCUCCAGUUUGCAGAAGGCAGAUCAUGAGACUGCUAACCCUCUAUUAGCACAUUAGUCCAUUCCCAUAAUUGAUGGGGGGUGUGUGUGUGUGUGUGUGUGUGUGUGUGUGUGUGUGUGUGUUGGGAGCUAUCUCCUCUUUUGUUUUUUUUUUUCUCUGAAGAACACUAACAUACAGCUUCUUAUACAAAUAAACUGAUGUUUAAAAACUUCUAUGUUCAUUUAAAUGAUUUUAAAUUAUGUAUUAAACCUCUAUGUUCAAUAAAUAAACUACCACGCUUAAAUUUUUAC
rnacentral:lncRNA from 1 species